AUUGAACGCUGGCGGCAGGCUUAACACAUGCAAGUCGAACGAGCGGCGGACGGGUGAGUCAUGUCUGGGAAACUGCCCGAUGGAGGGGGAUAACUACUGGAAACGGUAGCUAAUACCGCAUACCAUCAGAUGUGCCCAGAUGGGCUUAGCUAGUAGGGGGGGUAAUGGCUAACCUAGGCGACGAUCCCUAGCUGUUCUGAGCGGAUGACCGGCCACACUGGAACUGGGACACGGUCCAGACUCCUACGGGAGGCAGAAGUGGGGAAUAUUGCAAAAUGGGCGCAAGCCUGAUGCAGCCAUGCCGCGUGUAUGAAGAAGGCCUUCGGGUUGUAAAGUACUUUCAGCGAGGAGGCGUUACUCGCAGAAGAAGCACCGGCUAACUCCGUGCCAGCAGCCGCGGUAAUAC
rnacentral:rRNA from 1 species